GCAGCGCUCGGAACCGGCUGGCAGCGGGGAUGUCAUUAGCCCUGACACAAAAACACAAGGCGAGGCUUUUUGACGCUUGUUUUCCAGUUUUGACACAAGAGGGGAAACGUGAGAAAGGCAAAGAAGAGGCAGUAGUUGAAUCCGUAACAGAAAAUUUGGAGUGUGAAGGAGGAAAUAAACCGAACGCAAAGGAGCGUGCAGAUGGGAGCUAAACUACACACGCUUUCUGACGUGGUGCAGGGAAAAUAUACUUUCACAGGGAGGAUAAAGCCACCAGGAAAACUAAGAGCAAGAGACAAGAGUUGGCAAAGGGAGGUUCGCUUUCUCACAGACAGUCACUGCAACUAAUCCCCUCUGAGAAGAUCUUGCCA
rnacentral:lncRNA from 1 species